rnacentral:lncRNA from 1 species
AGAGGCAUCCCAAAAGGUGGAAAUAACAAGAAGAAGAUUACAAAGGGUGGACAAAAGAAUAAGGCAAAGACAAGUGUGGUAGAGAUUGAAAGCUCAUCACAUGCACCCCAACCUACACAACCAUAGCAACACUAGUUUCAAUUAUGGUUAUAUUAUAAUGAUGUUAAUUAGUUAUUAUUUUGAUGUUAGAACAAAUAUUUCAAGUACUUGUCAUUUUGAUGUUAGUUUGG